rnacentral:rRNA from 1 species
GUGUCAGCCGCCGCGGUAAUACCAGCUCCGCGAGUGGUCGGGACGAUUAUUGGGCCUAAAGCGUCCGUAGCCGGCCUAACAAGUCUCUGGUUAAAUCUCAAGGCUUAACCUUGAGAUCGCUGGAGAUACUGUUAGGCUAGGGGGCGGGANAGGUUGAGGGUACUUCGCGGGUAGGGNCGAAAUCCUAUAAUCCGCGAAGGACCACCAGUGGCGAAGGCGCUCAACUGGAACGCGCCCGACGGUGAGGGACGAAAGCUAGGGNNGCAAAGGGGNUUAGAUACCCCCGUAGUCC